rnacentral:rRNA from 1 species
AUUUACAACCAAAUCACCAUUAACGCGUCCGAUUUUAUCAGAUAUUGGAAUCGAAUCUGGGAUGUAGAGCCUGGUGAGUACGUGGAUGGGAUACAGCCAGGGACUACCAGGUGUGCUGUAGGCC